rnacentral:rRNA from 1 species
CCCUUAGAUGUCCGGGGCCGCACGCGCGCUACACUGAAGGAAUCAGCGUGGCUUUCUCCCUGACCCGAAAGGGUUGGGAAACCCGUUGAAUCUCCUUCGUGAUAGGGAUUGGGGCUUGAAAUUGUUCCCCAUGAACGAGGAAUUCCCAGUAAGCGCGAGUCAUAAGCUCGCGUUGAUUACGUCCCUGCCCUUUGUACACACCGCCCGUCGCUACUACCGAUUGAACGGUUUAGUGAGGGCCUCGGAUUGGUCUCGGCCCGCUCUUUACCGGGCGGCGCCGUUGUUCGAGAAGACGCUCGAACUUGAUCGUUUAGAGGAAGUAAAAGUCGUAACA